rnacentral:rRNA from 1 species
GACGAACGCUGGCGGCGUGCUUAACACAUGCAAGUCGAACGGAAAGGCCCUGCUUUUGUGGGGUGCUCGAGUGGCGAACGGGUGAGUAACACGUGAGUAACCUGCCACUGACUUUGGGAUAACUUCAGGAAACUGGGGCUAAUACCGGAUAGGAGCUCCUGCUGCAUGGUGGGGGUUGGAUAGUUUCGGCGGUUGGGGAUGGAAUGGCGGCUUAUCGGCUUGUUGGUGGGGUAGUGGCUUACCAAGGCUUGGACGGGUAGCCGGCCUGGGAGGGUGACAGGCCAAGUUGGGACUGAGAUGCGGCCCAGACUCCUACGGGAGGCAGAAGUGGGGUAGAGUGCACAAUGGGCGGAAGCCUGAUGCAGCCACGCCGCGUGCGGGGUGACGGCCUUGGGGUUGUAAUCCGCUUUCGCCUGUGACGAAGCGUGAGUGACGGUAAUGGGUAAAGAAGCACCGGCUAACUACGUG